GACGAACGCUGGCGGCGUGCUUAACACAUGCAAGUCGAACGAUGAAGCUGGAGCUUGCUCCGGUGGAUUAGUGGCGAACGGGUGAGUAACACGUGAGUAACCUGCCCUUGACUCUGGGAUAACUGCGGGAAACUGUAGCUAAUACCGGAUACGACCCUCGGAGGCAUCUCCUGGGGGUGGAAAGAAUUUCGGUCAAGGAUGGACUCGCGGCCUAUCAGCUAGUUGGUGAGGUAACGGCUCACCAAGGCGACGACGGGUAGCCGGCCUGAGAGGGUGACCGGCCACACUGGGACUGAGACACGGCCCAGACUCCUACGGGAGGCAGCAGUGGGGAAUAUUGCACAAUGGGCGCAAGCCUGAUGCAGCAACGCCGCGUGAGGGAUGACGGCCUUCGGGUUGUAAACCUCUUUUAGUAGGGAAGAAGCGAAAGUGACGGUACCUGCAGAAAAAGCACCGGCUAACUACGUGCCAGCAGCCGCGGUAA
rnacentral:rRNA from 1 species